UCUCCUCACUGUCUCUCUAUCUCCCCGCCCCUCCCACGAUCGCCACAGCCACCACCAACCCCACCCACCCCCACCACUCUCUCUCUUAUUAUCUGUCUUUCUCUCUCUCUUUCUCUUUUUUCUCUCUCCCUUGCCCCCUCCCCCACGUUUACCCCUACCACUGCCCCAUCGGCCGCCCCACCAGCCACCGUUUAGAGAUCCUUGACUAUCGGUGCUUCACCUCCUCCUGGACGAGGUCGUGGGUGGAGCUAUGGUCGUGCAUGCAGUUGUGGCCCUCCCAGUCCUUCUCCCGCCAUUGGUGCGGAUGCACCCCCACCAUUGAAGCCUACAUUCGGGUUGCUGUCAAUUCCUACAGAUCCCACCACAAUGGGGUCAGCUACAACGGGCUCCAACAGCUCACAGACCCCAGUCAAGCCAUGCGAUGCACCACCACACCAGAGCCACCACUGCCACCAGCGACCCAAAGACAGUAUAUCAGCCUUCCAAAUGCGAGGUCGGACCAAGAUUGUCACACUGCAAUCCAUACACAGCCAAAGGACAUUAUCCGCGUCCCUGGAAAAAUAUAUCGCAAAUCCCACAGGAGCACCAGUUAUUCUGGUUCAAUAAUUUAAAGGUCGGCAAGUCGCAGGUGGAUAAAUUCGUGCAAAAACAGUUCGUCAACGCCCGGAAUCAGUUGGCCCGACCGUUGCGGCUGGCCGAGGAGAUUUGGCGCUAACUAUUGAAGUACUGUGCAAGUCCAGAAUUCCAAGCACAGUCCACGAGAAUAAGCUCAAUCGGGCAGCCAACCAGGACGUAGUUCUACCAUAUACUGUGGGAAGUCAUCCUCCAUUGGGAUUUUUUAAUUUUCUAAUUAUUUCUUUAAAUGGUUUUUGAACAGGAGGCACAACUCAGACGCCCCGUCAAACAGAUGGAGGUGUUCGAGAACUGCUAUAAAAAGAAGGACGAGCAUUGGAGCGGCCCGAGGGUAGAGGAGGUCUCGGAGUUGUUCCUGACGAUGAUGGAGGAGAGCCGAAACCAGCAAAACAGUGAUCAAGACCCUUUAUUAUCCUCUCAAGGCUUUGUGGCCCCGAACGAGCAACAUGUGUGGUUGUCAGCAACGGGCGACCGGAAGAGGGUCCGAGUAUUCGGUCUUGGCUCCAAGGCCCACCACAUGAUUGUUGGACCAUCACAGCCCAGCAUGUCCACUGCUCCAUCGUGCUCGCCACCACAACCAUCGCGCCCCAACCGUAAUGAUCUAAUAGCGAGGCUCGAGGAGUGGAUGGGGUGAAUGGAUCCCACUUGGCCCGUUCCGUUCCUCCAGCCCCAAUUGCCAACGAAGACGGACAUGCGGCCAAAGGGGAUGCUGAUUUAGA